rnacentral:rRNA from 1 species
GAUGAACGCUAGCUACAGGCUUAACACAUGCAAGUCGAGGGGAAACGACAUCGAAAGCUUGCUUUUGAUGGGCGUCGACCGGCGCACGGGUGAGUAACGCGUAUCCAACCUGCCCACCACUUGGGGAUAACCUUGCGAAAGUAAGACUAAUACCCAAUGAUAUCUCUAGAGGACAUCUGAAAGAGAUUAAAGAUUUAUCGGUGAUGGAUGGGGAUGCGUCUGAUUAGCUUGUUGGCGGGGUAACGGCCCACCAAGGCAACGAUCAGUAGGGGUUCUGAGAGGAAGGUCCCCCACAUUGGAACUGAGGCACGGUCCAAACUCCUACGGGAGGCAGCAGUGAGGAAUAUUGGUCAAUGGACGAGAGUCUGAACCAGCCAAGUAGCGUGCAGGAAGACGGCCCUAUGGGUUGUAAACUGCUUUUAGAAGGGAAUAAAGUGAGUCUCGUGAGACUUUUUGCAUGUACCUUAUGAAUAAGGACCGGCUAAUUCCGUG